rnacentral:lncRNA from 1 species
GAGAAUAACAAGAUGGUGUUUGCAGAAUCCUACACUGCACUGUGGAGUUGGGUCAGUUGCAUCAUGAAAUAUUAGCAUUUUCCACACAGGAACAUUUUGUAACAAGAAAUGUUAGAAAUCAUUUGUAGAGUAGAAGACAUACUAGACGAUAGUUGGAAGGAAAAAGAGACUGUGGAAUGACGCAUAAAUGCUUCUAAUUAAAGGGAGGGGACUCAAAAAGUGUAGGAGGCUUGAGGAAUUUAGCACACAACUACAGAUGUUUCUU